UACGUAGGGUGCAGGCGUUAUUCGGAAUUACUGGGCGUAAAGCGUGCGCAGGCGGUCUUUUAAGUCAGAUGUGAAAUCCCCGGGCUUAACCUGGGAACUGCGUUUGAAACUGGAAGGCUAGAGUGUGGCAGAGGGGGGUGGAAUUCCACGUGUAGCAGUGAAAUGCGUAGAGAUGUGGAGGAACACCGAUGGCGAAGGCAGCCCCCUGGGCUAACACUGACGCUCAUGCACGAAAGCGUGGGGAGCAAACAGG
rnacentral:rRNA from 1 species